rnacentral:lncRNA from 1 species
AGACCUCAUAGUUUGGCAAUAGUUCAAACCGUCGGUCGAGCACCUCUCUUGACUGACACCGCAGUCUUGAAAACAACCAUCAUUGUUGGGGGAAACUGGAGGUUUCCAAGCUGAACCGUCGCACAUACACUCGCAGUCUCCGAGAGGUGCCGUCUAUCCGCUCGAGCCCUGCGACGACGAGGUUGAAUAAUCGAUGCUGGACCCUGUGUAAGUGGAGUUGGACUUCCAAUCGGGGUAGUAAUUCGAGCAUGCUUGGCCAAGUUUGUUUGCGCACUCUUGGGGACCAUACUGGUAGCAUUCCUGUUCUAAGAUGCCGCAGGGUCCUCCGUUUUGGUCGCAUACCUCGAUGAAUCCUGCGUACUGACUGCGCUGGUCGUCGCAGAAGCAUUCGCAGUCGCCGAACGUGUUUCCACCUGGCGUCGAACCUGGGCUUUGGGAAUUGUACGCCUCCACGUAAAUCCAAGUCGCGGAUACGGAUCCGCCAGAGGAGCAAUACUGGUUGUUUGUAUUCUGGCUCACGCACAUUGAUGAACCUUGCUGCGAGCACUGUUCAGAAGUUACUCGGCAAUCUUCACUCGUCGGGUCACAAUCAACCGUGUUGAUCAACGUUUGAGGACUCCAAGGGGAAAAUCCCGAACCUUCGUCGCACAUACACUCGCAGUCUCCGAGAGGUGCCGGCUGUCCGCUCGAGCCCUGCGACGUGCUAGGUGCGCCAGAGUUUCCAGGGCCCGUGUACGAGUAUUCGGGGACGAACAGCGUCUUGACGCUGAACGUAUUCUGCACGACAAACUUCGACUGGUGCCAGGCGUCCCAUCUGUCGCUCGCUUGCGCCGUACCGCUCGAGUUCUGCCAGGUGUCGUCCUGCACAUCGAGACGCUGCCAGAAGUUGCCGUUGUCGUAACCCUC